rnacentral:lncRNA from 12 species
AUUCUAAAUUCUGCUGGCAACUUUCAAACAUUCCUGUGUGCUCCUGACUGAGAAAUAGUCCUACAUCAGCAGAAGGUAGAUGAGCUGAGCUCAGGCUUCAUUCCAAACUGUGAAGAAGGUGUGAGCCAAUCCAAGGAGCCUGACUUUAUUUGGAUAGACUCUUCAGAGAACAAUCAGUUGUCCCUAAUAGCCCAAGAACUCCAGGUACUGAGAGGUUAACCAUAUCUCCAGUUUCAAAGGGAACAUGUGACCUACACCUGACCAAUAGAGACAUCAUAUUACCAGAGACAUAAAGAUUGAUUGAGCCACUCAGACCAAAUUUUCAGUUAAAUGAAGCCACUCACACCCAAUUCUGAGGUGCCUGCAUGAAGAAAAGAGUUGCAUCUCUUGUUAGUGGAAUUGAGCCUGGUGGAAUAAGAACUUAGAGAAUAAGGUCAACACAGAGACAACAAGACAUGGAGACAUAUUAAAUCCUUGUGACACAGCUUAUAAACCUGGAUUAAGCCAUGCCUGAAGGUUAUCUGCAGAUAUUUCAGUUGUGAAAGAUAAC